rnacentral:rRNA from 1 species
CGGCGCAAAGAGAGGCCCAAGUGAGAUUAGCUAGUUGGUAAGGUAAAGGCUUACCAAGGCAACGAUCUCUAGCUGUUCUGAGAGGAAGAUCAGCCACACUGGAACUGAGACACGGUCCAGACUCCUACGGGAGGCAGCAGUGGGGAAUAUUGCACAAUGGGGGAAACCCUGAUGCAGCCAUGCCGCGUGUGUGAAGAAGGCCUUCGGGUUGUAAAGCACUUUCAGUUGUGAGGAAAAGUUAGUAGUUAAUACCUGCUAGCCGUGACGUUAACAACAGAAGAAGCACCGGCUAACUCCGUGCCAGCAGCCGCGGUAAUACGGAGGGUGCGAGCGUUAAUCGGAAUUACUGGGCGUAAAGCGCACGCAGGCGGUUUGUUAAGCUAGAUGUGAAAGCCCCGGGCUCAACCUGGGAUGGUCAUUUAGAACUGGCAGACUAGAGUCUUGGAGAGGGGAGUGGAAUUCCAGGUGUAGCGGUGAAAUGCGUAGAUAUCUGGAGGAACAUCAGUGGCGAAGGCGACUCCCUGGCCAAAGACUGA